rnacentral:RNase_P_RNA from 1 species
UGAGUAAUUCAGACGAUUGCGGGCGCAAAAGCGCAUGAGGAAAGUCCGGGCUCCGCAGAGCAAGGGUGCCGGUUAACGGCCGGUGGAAGCGAUUCCAAGGAUAGUGCAACAGAAAAUAAAUGCCCCGGCGCAGCCGGAGCGAUUGUGGAAAUGUGCGGUAAGAGCGCACAGGGAUGAUGGUAACUGAAUUCCCGUGUAAACCCCACCCGGAGCAACCCGAGGGAAAAAAGCCUGCUCGGCAAUCCCGACAAGGGGCUUGACAGCCGCGGUAACGCAGCUGCUAGAUAGAUAAUCGUCAGAUACAGAACCCGGCUUACAGAAUUGCUCAUUUU